UCGUUGGGUUUGCGCUCUCUUCUCCCAAUAGUUCCGAACACUAGCAGAUUCAGGAGCCGCUCGCCUCUUUUCGUCUCUCGGUCUCUGUAUUCUUAUCCAUGGCGUCUACUUUUGUCACAGUGCCAAAACCCUUUCCAUACAAACCCAACGCCCCCUCUCUAUCUUAUAACCAGAGACUACUAGGUCUGCGGAGAAACUCUCUGAGAAUCAACGCCAUUUCCAAGAAAUGGGAGCCGGCCAAGGUGGUUCCGCAAGCUGAUCGAGUGCUUAUUCGUCUGGAGCAGCUGCCCGAG